GAUGAACGCUGGCGGCGUGCUUAACACAUGCAAGUCGAGCGAAGCGGUUUCAAUGAAGUUUUCGGAUGGAUUUGAGAUUGACUUAGCGGCGGACGGGUGAGUAACGCGUGGGUAACCUGCCUUACACUGGGGGAUAACAGUUAGAAAUGACUGCUAAUACCGCAUAAGCGCACAGGGCCGCAUGGUCCGGUGUGAAAAACUCCGGUGGUGUAAGAUGGACCCGCGUCUGAUUAGGUAGUUGGCGGGGUAACGGCCCACCAAGCCGACGAUCAGUAGCCGACCUGAGAGGGUGACCGGCCACAUUGGGACUGAGACACGGCCCAGACUCCUACGGGAGGCAGCAGUGGGGAAUAUUGCACAAUGGGGGAAACCCUGAUGCAGCGACGCCGCGUGAAGGAUGAAGUAUUUCGGUAU
rnacentral:rRNA from 1 species